rnacentral:rRNA from 1 species
UACGGGGGGAGCAAGCGUUGUUCGGAUUUACUGGGCGUAAAGGGCGCGUAGGCGGCCAGCGCAAGUCAGUUGUGAAAUCUCCGGGCUUAACUCGGAACGGUCAACUGAUACUGCGCGGCUAGAGUGCGGAAGGGGCAACUGGAAUUCUCGGUGUAGCGGUGAAAUGCGUAGAUAUCGAGAGGAACACCUGCGGCGAAGGCGGGUUGCUGGGCCGACACUGACGCUGAGGCGCGAAAGCUAGGGGAGCGAACGGG